rnacentral:rRNA from 1 species
UACAGAGGGGGCAAGCGUUGUUCGGAAUUACUGGGCGUAAAGGGCUCGUAGGCGGCCAACUAAGUCAGACGUGAAAUCCCUCGGCUUAACCGGGGAACUGCGUCUGAUACUGGAUGGCUUGAAUCCGGGAGAGGGAUGCGGAAUUCCAGGUGUAGCGGUGAAAUGCGUAGAUAUCUGGAGGAACACCGGUGGCGAAGGCGGCAUCCUGGACCGGAUUCGACGCUGAGGAGCGAAAGCCAGGGGAGCAAACGGG